CUAUUUGAGAGUUUGAUCCUGGCUCAGGAUGAACGCUGGCGGCGUGUCUAAGGCAUGCAAGUCGAAUGGGUUUAGACCCAUGGCAAACUGGAGCGUAACACAUUGGCAAUUUGCCUUAAGGUCGAGCAUAACCUGAAGAAAUUCGGGAUAAUUCUCGAUAGUAGCGGAAGAUCAUAAGAUUUUCCACUUAAAGAUUUAUCGCCUUAAGAGAAGCCUAUGUCCUAUCAGCUAGUUGGUAAGGUAACUGCUUACCAAGGCUACGACGGGUAGCGGGUGUGAGAGCAUGACCCGCCUCACUGGGACUGAGACACUGCCCAGACUCCUACGGGAGGCUGCAGUCAAGAAUCUUCCUCAAUGCACGAAA
rnacentral:rRNA from 1 species